rnacentral:rRNA from 1 species
ACGCUCGACACCUACGUGAGGCAGCAGUGGGGAAUAUUGCACAAUGGGGGAAACCCUGAUGCAGCGACGCCGCGUGAGCGAAGAAGUAUUUCGGUAUGUAAAGCUCUAUCAGCAGGGAAGAAACUGACGGUACCUGACUAAGAAGCACCGGCUAAAUACGUGCCUGCAGCCGCGGUAAUCUGAGCGGGCUGGCAAGGC